rnacentral:rRNA from 1 species
AUAGCAUAUAUUAAAGUUGUUGCAGUUAAAAAGCUUGUAGUUGAACUUCAGACCUGGCCGGAUGGUCUGCCUUCACGGUAUGUACUGUCUGGCUGGGCCUUACCUCUUGGUGAGCCGGCAUGCCCUUCACUGGGUGUGUUGGGGAACCAGGACUUUUACCUUGAGAAAAUUAGAGUGUUCAAAGCAGGCCUAUGCUCGAAUACAUUAGCAUGGAAUAAUAAAAUAGGACGUGCGGUUCUAUUUUGUUGGUUUCUAGAGUCGCCGUAAUGAUUAAUAGGGAUAGUUGGGGGCAUUAGUAUUCAGUUGCUAGAGGUGAAAUUCUUGGAUUUACUGAAGACUAACUACUG